rnacentral:lncRNA from 1 species
UGGACCUUCUUAUUUAGGGUGGAUGCAUUAUUAUACAAGUUUAUUUUUGAGGAAAUCACGUUCAAUGUAAACUAGUACAGACCUACAAAGAAAGGUAAGAGUUCUUAAACUAGUUGGACUGCUAGAGAUGUAUACCACUGCAUGUGGCAAGAUAGGCACCAUAUUCCUGUGGCAAGAUAAUGUGCAAUGACUUCUUUGUGUCCUUCCAUGAUUGCAUUAAGGGA